GGUUCCCAUAUGAUCAUUGAAGUUAAGCAACAUUGGGCUUGGUUAGUACCUAGAUGGGUGACUGAUUUGGAAUACCAGGUACUGUAA